rnacentral:rRNA from 1 species
UGAGGAAUUUUGCGCAAUGGGGGAAACCCUGACGCAGCAACGCCGCGUGAGUGAUGAAGGCCUUCGGGUCGUAAAGCUCUGUCAAGUGGGAAGAACCUGUCACGUGAUAAUACCACGGGGCACUGACGGUACCACUGAAGGAAGCACCGGCUAACUCCGUGCCAGCAGCCGCGGUAAUACGGGGGGUGCUAGCGUUAUUCGGAAUCAUUGGGCGUAAAGGGCGCGUAGGCGGUCUCUUAAGUCAGAUGUGAAAGCCCUCGGCUUAACCGAGGAAGUGCAUUUGAUACUAAGUGACUUGAGUAUGGGAGAGGGAAGCGGAAUUCCUGGUGUAGCGGUGAAAUGCGUAGAUAUCAGGAGGAACACCGGUGGCGAAGGCGGCUUCCUGGACCAAUACUGACGCUGAGGCGCGAAGGCGUGGGGAGCAAACA